CUGGGAGGCAUCAGGACUGCUGUCAGUUCUGCCACUGUCAGGCUACAGACAGAGCUACAUGUCAUCUCGGGAGAGUGAAAAAAGGUGUAUUUUUUUCCACCUAACUUGUCAGCCCAGUUCUGGCCCUCUCCUGUGUAUUUAAAGUAAUUGCUCAUGGCAGUCAAGGUGUCUGCAUAAGGGCCUGUCAUAAGCAAUCCACUGGCAUGAGUAGGGGCCUUGUGUAUGAACCUAAUCCAGUCAGUGAAGCCAAAUGGACGGACGGAGGGGGUUAAGAAGUUGUUCAAGAGGAACCUGGAAAAAAGUUCACCACACACACAAAAAAAUGAAUUCAGCUGUUUUCAUUUCUGCUUCAGCUGUUUCGUCAUGAGACUCCUCCGUGACAAAUUUACUGUACACUCAAAAGUAACCUACUAUAUUUUCUGGUUAUUAUCACCAGUCUUUCCCCUUGUUUCCUUUUGCACUUGUGUCUAAUAAAAAUGUCUAAUAGUACACGGUCA